GAUGAACGCUGGCGGCGUGCCUAAUACAUGCAAGUCGAGCGAACGGACGAGAAGCUUGCUUCUCUGAUGUUAGCGGCGGACGGGUGAGUAACACGUGGAUAACCUACCUAUAAGACUGGGAUAACUUCGGGAAACCGGAGCUAAUACCGGAUAAUAUUUUGAACCGCAUGGUUCAAAAGUGAAAGACGGUCUUGCUGUCACUUAUAGAUGGAUCCGCGCUGCAUUAGCUAGUUGGUAAGGUAACGGCUUACCAAGGCAACGAUGCAUAGCCGACCUGAGAGGGUGAUCGGCCACACUGGAAGUGAGACACGGUCCAGACUCCUACGGGAGGCAGCAGUAGGGAAUCUUCCGCAAUGGGCGAAAGCCUGACGGAGCAACGCCGCGUGAGUGAUGAAGGUCUUCGGAGCGUAAAACUCUGUUAUUAGGGAAGAACAUAUGUGUAAGUAACUGUGCACAUCUUGACGGUACCUAAUCAGAAAGCCACGGCUAACUACGUG
rnacentral:rRNA from 1 species